AAUCAUCAAACCUAACCGGUCUUGUCGCCGGCGCGGUUUGGACCUGGGGGUUCUUUGCUGCCGCUCGCGGUGGCUCCCCUUAAAUGCAUCGGUCGGGCUUUCGUGCGGCUCCGUCCCUUGGCGUUGUAUUACCCUCGUCGCUGGAUGGCUCGCGAUUCUGUGCCCUUCCCUGACUUGCCUCUGGAGUGGCGGUCUUCAACAUUUGUG
rnacentral:misc_RNA from 1 species